CUACCGUCAUCGAGAGGUGACGGGACGGGUGGACAGAAGUCAGCCGAGGGUAUAGUAGGUCCAUCGACCGGACUGAAGGCC
rfam:Nitrospina sp. SCGC_AAA799_C22 AAA799C22_29, whole genome shotgun sequence.